rnacentral:lncRNA from 1 species
CUCAUUUUCUCUUGCUGCCAUCAUGUAAGAAGAGCCUUUCACCUCCCGCCGUGAUUCUGAGGCUUCCCCAGCCACGUGGAACUGUUCCACUUCCCACAACACCUCUGCCACCAACCAAUUGAGGGUCUUCAGGAGAAGUGUUCUUAUCUGUGCAAUAGAGCCUGCCAGAAGGGGCACCUGGCAACCCUCUUCAGAGGCUUGAUCCUGUGCUGCAGAAACCUAUGGACCUGCUCAACCUGUGCACUGGAAUUCCAGGGAUAGACUGAGCUGUCCCUAGGAGGCUGGGAGCAUUCUCCAGCAGAGACCAGCAACUGCCUCCUGCCUGGAGAAUCUGGAAGGAGGAAGGGCGGCUGGAAUCACCUGUGAUGACUCCAGUGUGUCAGAGAAGACAGGAAGACCAAGAAACAGCCAAGGAGAGGGGCUGAGGAAUGAGAGAUGGAGGAGACAACAGAUUGUCCUUCCCAUUGCCAAACCUUAGGCCGGGCCUGAGGGGAUCAGACUGGGCAAUUGAAUCCUCAAAGGUUCCUGGAAGGACUCAGACUUGUGUACACAUGGAGAAUAGCGUCUGGCGCCAAGAACGCAGAGCGGCUGAGAACUGGUGUUUCUCCUCUUAGGAAAGAAAAUGACAGGGAAAGGAAGAAAAAUAGGAAAGAAGAAAGGAAGAGAGAGAAGAAGGAAAAAAAGAGGGAGGGAGGGAAGGAAAGGGUAGGGAAGGAAGGAAAGAGGAAAAGAAGGAGGAAGAGGAAGAGAUGGAGAGAAGAAAGAAAGGAAGGAAAAGGGAGGGAAGAAAAGGAAAAGAGGGAGGAAGGGAGAAAUGGAAGAAGGGAAAGAAGGAAAAGAAGGAGGAAGAGGAAGAGAUGGAGAGAAGAAAGGAAGGAAGGAAAAGGGAGAGAAGAAAAAGAAAAGAGGGAGGAAGGGAGAAAAGGAAGAAGGGAAAGAAGGAAAAAAGGAAGAAGAGAGGAAUGGAAGGAAGAAGGGAAGGGAAAGAGGGAGACAGGUAAAGAGGGAGGGAGGGAAAUAAGGAAGAGGGAGAAAGAGGGAGAAAGGGGGGAGGAGCAAAGGACGGAAGAAGGAAGGAAAGAAGAAGGGAGGGAAGGGAAAAUAGAGGAAAUGAAGGACGGCACAGGGAAGGGGAAAAAGGACGAAGAGGAGGAAAAGAGGGAGGGAAGAAGGAAGAAGAAAAGGAAAGAGAAAAGAAGGAGGGAGGGAGGGAAGGAAGACAGGAAGGAAAACCAAACGUCGAGGUAGCACUGUGUGUUUGGAUUUCUUGCUUUACUGAAGUAUUACCUUCAUCAGAAGCAGAUGGACUGAAUCACGUCAAAGUCUACCUAGGCAGGAAGCAUUGUUUUAAUUUACCCAGGUCACGGCAAACAUAUUGUCAUUCAGCAUGUGAAACUGUUUGAACUUACAAGGAGUAACCCAGCAACAGCAAUUACCCCACGUGUCCGUUGUGCUCUGAUGAUACAAACGCAACUGGAAUGGAGUCUCAUAAUUUCACAAGGUGACAAAACAUUGAAUUCUGAUGUUUCACCUCCACCUGCGAAUGAGCAGGGAGGUGCUGAGAGGCCAGCUGAAUACACAAAUUCCUUGGGCCCAUGGGCACUGUACAGAGGCCGGCUGCACUGGGGCAAGCUUGCCCUCCUCUCAACCUCAGGCCGGCAGCCAAUGCAGAGCAGCCCCACCGCGGGCUUUUGUCUGCUGAGAGCACACCCCCUGCAUUUCUUAUCAGAUUUACUGUGACAAGGACCCGGAGAAAAGCAAGAUGCUGGUAAGAGCUCAUCAAUUCAGACCCCACUAUUCAGAAAUUUGGAUUUAUUUUUUUGUCACGGAGAACUAGAACUGAUGUGAAUCUUGGCACUAUCCUUGAAAAAAAAUCAUUCAUAAUAACACAACAAUAAUAUAUAACAUUUACUGAGUUCUGACUCUGAACGAGGUACUGUCUGGAGUGCUCUUCGUGGAUGUCUCAUUUAAUCUUCAAAGCAACACUGUGAGGAAGGUCCUAUUAUUCUCUCCAUUUUGCAGGCGAUUACUUUGAGGCACAGAGAGGUCAAGGCCUGCCCAAGGUCACACAGCUAAUGAAUGGGAGAGCCUGGAUUCAGAACCCCAGCAGUCUGAUUGAUGCCAGAGCCAUAUUCUCAAUCACACUUUAAAAGGCAACUCCCAGCUAGGUCAAGAAUUCAGAUUGUUUCUAUGGACCUGAAAAUCAUUUUAACAGUACCCAUUUCUGUUGUUAAAAAAAAAAAAAAAAAGACAAGACAGUGACCCAAUCGAUGAUUCUUAUCCAUUCAUUAAGUCAAAGUUGCUCCUUGACCAUCCUGUUAGCCCUUAUUUCAUGCAUGUGAAAUGAAUAAAACUUCAUUUUGUUCAAAAAGACCCUUGGAUUCAGACUUUCUAUGCUUUUAGGUGGGCUUUCUUAUUAUUAUUCAAAGUCACUGAGGUUUUUCUCAAAGACUUCGGAGACUAAACUAAUCACAGCUGCCUUUGAG